rnacentral:lncRNA from 1 species
UUAAAAUUUAAAUUAAUGUGUCACACCCCAAUAAUUCCAUGUCGGAUAAGAAUGGAGAUGUGCUUAGAUAUAUAUAAAAAACUUAGACAUUAGUAAUAAUAACUGGGCUUAAAUAUUUUGAGCCGAUGUUUUGGUCCAACUAGUUAUUAUUACUGGCAAGUUGGAUCGUUACAUUUGGUAUCAAAGCUGGUUCACCAGUCGAAAAUGUGUGGUGACUCUUGGCUGAGCAAGAAUCUGAAAAAAUAAGGUGAUAGACUAUACCGGAGUCUGAAUAACAAUAUAACUGACUAUGUCAGGGUCUAGAUAACGAGGCUAGUAAGAUGAGUCUCAUAUCACCUAGUGAUCUUAGACUGUGUGUGUGAUUGGACUGAUAAGAACGUCAGAACUUUAACGGGGGGAGUCUGUUACAUUUCAAUAAUCUCAUAUCGGAUAGGAAUGGAGAUGUGAUUGGAUAUAUAAGAGACUUAUACUGGAAUAAUAAUAACUGGACUAAGUCUGUUGAGCCGGUGUCCGGGCCGAACGAGUUAUUGCUUCUAGUGGGCUGAGUCGUUACAUAAUGCUUAAAUUAGAAUAAUUCUAAAAUUUCUAAAAUUAAU